UUUGUAAAUAUUACAACAAUAACACAAAGAGGACUAUGUCUUGGGAGAUAGGGUUUUCCCCAUCUUCCAAAUGGAACAGUGAAGUCUAGGGGUAACCACAAUCCUUAGGAGUGCCUCUCCCUAGAACCCAGACACCAUGCUGAAUUGGUAUUCAGCUCCAUUCCUUGGUUUUUACUGUCACAGAAAGCAGUAACCACAUACAAAGGAAGCUGAAUUGCUAGGAAAUGGCAUGACAUGAAAACAAAAGACAUCAACUGAGACUUAAAUUCCACAGUUCUGGGAGAAGGACUGGCUCUCAAUCCACUGAGCCACUUAACUGUCCCCAAUGGACUCCACAUUUUAAGAACAUUGACACACUGGACUGGGUACCAAAGAAAAUUAAGAAGAUGAUGGGAGGACCAGAGUCAGAGCCAAGGAUAACUCAAAAUGAGAAAGCUGAGGUCAAUGGAAGUUAAAUGACUUGCCUAGGUCAUGCAAGCAAGAAGCUAAGAGGCUGAGACCAGAGUGAAGGAAAGAAGUAGGACCUGGCUGAUGCCCAGUACUACAGCUGAUAAUAUCCAUAAUGAUGGAGAAAAGCAAGAGAUAAAUUGAGUUCAUCUGUCACAAAGCUGGCGGUUGGCAGAAACAGACGAGAGGAAAAUAGUCGUGCACCUGAGGAGUCAACUCUAGCAGAGUGGAAGGAAAGGCACUCGUGGUGGGGAGACAUGGGAAGACAGGGAGAAAGGCUUAGGGCCAAUCAUGUGACCCCAAAUCCUAUCUCCAUAACCACUAGGUGCUUUAUUUAAGACUCAGAAGAUGCAGCUGGAAAGAACUCUAAGCCACAACCUAGAAAGAUGUUUCCCUUUGCAUAUGGGAGUCAAUCAACAACCACUGAUUAAGCAAUUACUAUGAGCUGAUAACUAUGCUGAGUUCUCAGAAUUUUUUUUAAAUGAUCCCUGCCCUCAAGGAGAUUACAUUCAUAAAUCAGCACAUACAAGGCA